AUCAAGAUGGAGCAGGGUAUAGAGAAGCCAUUAGGGAUGAUACAGAACACCACCAAAGGGUUAGUAACGGUGGGGAACUGUUUGCACCCCGAAGCCUGAAAGAGUGAAGUAGGGUGGGAUUACCUGGAAAGAGAGAGAGAGACAGAAGGAGAAUGAGAUUGAGGGAAGGGCUGCCUGGCAGGGGAAGCUGACGCCUUCAGGCAAGUGAAGAAGCCAGCCCGCAGCAACUCUGCAGGGAAGAAUAUAGGGAAAUAAACGCCUUCAUCUCUCUCUUGUCCCACCCGCAGAGCUCCUUCUGGGAUUCUCUAUUGGCUGAACUCAGCCAGAAGCUGCCAAGGGAGACCCCCACAACUGGAUGCAGCCCACUGAAGUCAGCUUCCUGGGGUGCGUAGCUGAAGGUAGCAGGGAGCAAAAAGAAUCUGAAGGGGAAGUGAACAAUGUAGAGCGUAUCUGUGCUGAAGACGUAAGGAGAGAGUGGAGGUCAGAAGCUGGCAUGGUCCCUGGUGCAUGUAUCAGCCGCUAAAGUGGAGAGUAUGAACAUAAGCAAGAGGAAGUGAUGAGUAUCCCUUCCAGGAGAACUCUAAGAGGCAGUGAGUGAUUUGCUGGGCUCCCAAGCCCUCUGCUCUGAUGACAGCAAAGCCCCAAAUCAUGGUGCCUCCAUCAGUCGGGACCCCUCAGCAGAGCCAGCUUCACAGCUGGAGUGGAUGAAUCAGAACUUUCCCCAUGGGAGCAUUUAUAAAAAGGGGACACCCAGCGCAGAAGAUGUUUUCCAGGGAGAUCUCGGGGAGCCCAACAAGCCAAGAAGAGCAGAGCAAAGCAUUCCAAGGAAGGACUCUAAGUCUGCAACCGAGCACACACGAGGGUAGCCUACGCAUGUACGUCUUGCAGUGAUGGCAAGGAGCAGGAGAAAGAAAGCCCAUCCAAACAAGCAUAUUGGAAGCCUAUGUAUCCCAUAAGCUGACAUCUUGUUGCCCAAAGCAUGUCAUGUGCGUGGUCCAGAGUCAGUGUUGAAGGGCUCUGCAAAAUCACAUGGUAAAGACUGUGGUUUCAGGGAGGAGUGAAGAUUUGUGCGCAUUGCUCCAAUUGACAACCAUGGCACUAGGCUCAGGCCACACUUCUUCCUAACAAGAGAGCAAGUCAAAGCGUGGUUAGUUAAAGUCCAUACAAAAACUCACUUUAACAGGCCUCCUCUGGAUUGAACAGCUGAUAUUAAGUCAUAAGGUACCACAUCAGAAAGAUACUGGGUAUCUUUGGUUCAGCAAUUCCAUCACCAGGGACUUUUUCAUCCUAAGGAAAUCACUGCACGGUGGACAAAGAUAUAUGCAUAAGGAUGCUCCUUCUGGCCAAAGACCAAAAACAUAACUGGCCAUCAGUAAAAGCCAACACAAGGAAAGACCAUGUGAAUACACAGCAAGAACGUGGUGCUCUGCAAGUCAGAAACAGACCCGUCAUCAGACACCAAAUCAGCCAGCACCUUGAUCUAGGAUUUCUGGCCUCCAAAACAGUGAGAAAAUAAAAUUCUGUUGUUUAAGCCAUGCAGCCUGUUGUAUUUCAUUAUGGCAGCCUGAGCAGAAUAAGACAGGUAUAUACAAAUGCAAAUUCUAUUAAGAAAUCUGUAUCUUUUACCCUAUUGAAGUAAGUUAUACCUCAAUUGAAGAAUAAAUAAAAGAGAAAGAAGGAGCAG
rnacentral:lncRNA from 1 species